rnacentral:snRNA from 1 species
GUACUUUAAGCCAAUGCCGGCUGCCCCAUCUCUCACCCCAUUGAUGUCCAGGGUGGACUUAGCUGAUCUGGCUGGCUAGGCGGAUGUCCUCUUCCUCCCUCACUGCUCCAUGUGUCCUUCCUGAAGCUAAGCACCUGGUCAGAAGGAGGAUCUUCCCUAGAUAGACUGGAGGGAUAUAGGUAGCUGUGCUCCCCUGCUAGAACCUCCAAACAAGCUGUUGAUACAAUGUAUUUCAGGACUAAUCUUUUGGUCCUGAUCCAUCAAGAGAUAGUCAGACAAUCAAAAGACAAUCAGAAGAGUGUCUGUCU